rnacentral:rRNA from 1 species
UACAGAGGUCCCAAGCGUUGUUCGGAUUCACUGGGCGUAAAGGGUGCGUAGGUGGUCGGGUAAGUUUGAUGUGAAAUCUCCGGGCUCAACCCGGAAAUGGCAUUGAAUACUGCCCGGCUCGAGGGUUGGAGGGGGGACUGGAAUUCUCGGUGUAGCGGUGAAAUGCGUAGAUAUCGAGAGGAACACCUGCGGCGAAGGCGGGUUGCUGGGCUGACACUGACGCUGAUGCGCGAAAGCCAGGGGAGCGAACGGG